rnacentral:rRNA from 1 species
CCUACGGGGGGCAGCAGUGAGGAAUAUUGGUCAAUGGACGAGAGUCUGAACCAGCCAAGUAGCGUGAAGGAUGACUGCCCUAUGGGUUGUAAACUUCUUUUAUAUGGGAAUAAAAUGUUACACGUGUGGGAUUUUGUAUGUACCAUAUGAAUAAGGAUCGGCUAACUCCGUGCCAGCAGCCGCGGUAAUACGGAGGAUCCGAGCGUUAUCCGGAUUUAUUGGGUUUAAAGGGAACGUAGGUGGAUUGUUAAGUCAGUUGUGAAAGUUUGCGGCUCAACCGUAAAAUUGCAGUUGAAACUGGCAGUCUUGAGUACAGUAGAGGUGGGCGGAAUUCGUGGUGUAGCGGUGAAAUGCUUAGAUAUCACGAAGAACUCCGAUUGCGAAGGCAGUUCACUGGACUGCAACUGACACUGAGGCUCGAAAGUGUGGGUAUCAAACAGGAUUAGAUACCCUAGUAGUC